AAUGAACGCUGGCGGUAGGCCUAACACAUGCAAGUCGAACGGCAGCACAGUAAGAGCUUGCUCUUACGGUUGGCGAGUGGCGGACGGGUGAGGAAUACAUCGGAAUCUACUUUUUCGUGGGGGAUAACGUAGGGAAACUUACGCUAAUACCGCAUACGACCUACGGGUGAAAGCAGGGGAUCUUCGGACCUUUCGCGAUUGAAUGAGCCGAUGUCGGAUUAGCUAGUUGGCGGGGUAAAGGCCCACCAAGGCGACGAUCCGUAGCUGGUCUGAGAGGAUGAUCAGCCACACUGGAACUGAGACACGGUCCAGACUCCUACGGGAGGCAGCAGUGGGGAAUAUUGGACAAUGGGCGCAAGCCUGAUCCAGCCAUACCGCGUGGGUGAAGAAGGCCUUCGGGUUGUAAAGCCCUUUUGUCGGGAAAGAAAAGCAGCAGGUUAAUACCCCGCUGUUCUGACGGUACCCAAAGAAUAAGCACCGGCUAACUUCGUG
rnacentral:rRNA from 1 species